rnacentral:lncRNA from 1 species
GAACCAGAAUUAUAUAAAAACUCACCCGAAAAUCCAGCAGAUGCACCGAGAGAAAGAGAGGUAAAAGAAAUAACAAAAGGGAAAGGGGUAAGACUACAACACGAGAAUUAUCCAACCGCCAACAACGACCCAAGACUUCAACACACCAAACAGCAACGAAGAGGAACUGAACAAAAGUAAAGACACAGAAACGAUGAAAGCACUUGCAGUGUAGAGAGCAAAAGAAGCUCAAAACACACACGAAGAGGUUGCU